CGAACGCGCAAGAAAAAGGCAGCUUCUCUUGACGGCUUCACUCUCCAUCCCCAUCCAAUCAUCACCGUCCUCGUCGUCAUCUCACUCCCGGAUGAUUUCUAGGGCUUUGUUGUUUCGCUUUUCAUCUCGAAAGCGGCGAUCCAAUUCAUACUCUCACGACGAGUGGUGCUGAUUCUUGUCAGAUCUCGGCCCUGGAGAGACAAGGCAGGGUUUGUCGAGGGUUUGAAAUGUGAACUCUGCUUUAAGAUGUUCCACCAGAGCAAGAUCAAGUUGGCUGCGCUCGUGGGGAUCACAUUGUCCGUGCUUUCUUUGCUUGUGCACAUUUUUGUUGCAAAUUAUUCAGUGGGGGACUUUCUACGAUACAAGUUGCAAGAAGACUACUUAUACCCACAGGGACAUAAACUUUGGCAUCGAAGGUUGUGGGGUCCGGUGAGCUCCUUGGAGGUCUUGCAACCAUAUGCUAAGCCGAGAAAUUUCUACCCUGUUCCAGGUCAGCAGAAUGGUUUGAUAUAUGCAAAAAUCUUUGGUGGAUUUGUGAAGAUAAGAUCUUCAAUUUGCGACCUUGUUGCUAUUGCAAGGCUCUUAAAUGCCACACUCGUCAUUCCAGAGAUCCAACAAAGUGUUCGUUCAAAGGGCAUCAGUAAAAAAUUUAAGAGUUUCUCUUAUCUUUACGAUGAAGAACAGUUCAUAGCAGCACUUUUAGAUGAUGUUAUUGUUAUAAAGAGCUUGCCAGCAGAUCUGAAGGAGGCUAGGAAAAGGACAAAAUUUCCUACAAUAUCACCGAAACGAUCAGCUUCCCCAACUUUUUAUAUCAGAGAAGUCUUACCUAAACUUAAACAAUCAAAGGUUAUUAGGAUGCUAGUUUCUGAUGGAGGAUGCCUUCAGCCUAUCCUUCCAUCAAGCUUGGAUGAAUAUCAGAGACUUAGAUGCAGGGUUGCCUUCCAUGCUCUUAAAUUCCGCUCAGAAAUUCAGGCACUUGGCAAACAAAUGGUAGAAAGGUUACAGGCAACUGUUGGUCCGUAUCUAUCGUAUCAUCCAGGCCUUGUCAGGAACACCCUUGCAUUUCAUGGUUGUGCUGAACUUUUCCAGGAUGUUCAUACUGAACUCAUUCAGCAUAGAAGGAAGCAGCUGAUAAAACAGGGAACAGUUGAUGAAGAUCUUAUUGUUGAUUCAGUUUCUAGAAAGACAAAUGGUUCAUGCCCUCUAUUGCCUGAAGAGGUUGGACUUCUUCUUCGAGCAAUGGGAUAUCCACCAAAUACCGUAAUCUAUUUGGCUGGUUCUGAGACAUUUGGUGGGCAGAGGAUUCUAGUUCCAUUGCAAGCCAUGUAUACAAACUUAGUAGAUUGCACAUCCUUAUGCAGUAAGAAAGAGCUGUUAAACUUGAUUGGUCCUGAAUAUCCUCUUACUUCAAAUCUCUCUCAGCCUCCUCCAGUGAAGAGUGAAAAACAACUUAUUGAGGAGUGGAAGAAAGCUGGGCCUCGACCACGACCCCUUCCUCCCCCUCCUGCAAGGCCCUUUUACCAGCAUGAGAAUGAAGGUUGGUAUGGUUGGGUUGCUGAGACUGAUAUAGAGCCUGAGUUUUCGCCUUUGGAUCUUAGGAAGCAAGCACACAGGUUACUCUGGGAUGCUCUUGACUAUUAUGUUUCUGUUGAAGCUGAUGCAUUUUUUCCUGGUUUUAACAAUGAUGGUAGCGGAUGGCCUGAUUUUUCAAGCUUGGUCAUGGGGCACCGACUAUACCAAACACCUUCUGGAGUAACCUAUCGCCCUAGCAGGAAAACACUUGCUGGGCUGUUUGGCUCUGUACAUGAUAACUUGUAUCAUCCAACACACAAUUGGAUGCAACUGGUGCGGGAUCAUCUUAACAAGAGCUUGGGUAUUGACGGACUUCUAGCAGGGGCUAAAUCAUCAAAACCUGCAAAUUUUCUUUCCUACCCUUUCCCAGAAUGUGCCUGCCGAACUUCGAAAUCUUAUGACAUUCCUGCACAUGUGAUGAGCAGCAAUGGUGAGAUAUUGUAUGGAAUUGAGGAUGAAUGUCCUGAAUGGAUGGUUCGUGGCCUAGCAAUGGCUUCCUUUAAGACAACUGGUGCCAAAGAUGAGGAUGUUGACGAGAUCGAGUUGCUGGAAGAUGACAAUGAGACAGACGGACAGUCUGAGUCUGAUAAUGGAAGCCGAAGUGACACAAGCAGAUCCAUGGAGCAUGAUGAAGAGAUGGAUCUAGAUGAUUAAAACAUAAUAGUGAAUAGAGAGAUCCAAAUUUGAAAUUGGCUCUUUCGGGAUGAGUUUGAAAGCUGUUUGUCAAGGCUGUAAAGAUAUAACCAAAGCUGCAAUCACUAAAAUCAAGUUUGGCUCCUCACAACUACCUAGUGCUAUAUUAAUAUUUCAUACAACUCUACCAAUGCAGUAACAUGGCCAUGUGCGUAAUCAGAUGAAGAUUUCAUGGUCCUGUGACAUCUGAUUUGAGUAUGAUGACAGCAUUGUUUUUGCAUUUAAUGCAUGUUUUGAUGCAAUUCUUGGUCUAUUGAUGUUCGUAUGGCUGAAAUCAACUCUUUCUCAACAUGCUGUGAAGCUGGCUGUUGUAUCUGCAUUGACCAGUACUCAGCUGGAUCCCCCAUUAGAGUGAAGAAGUAUCUUGGUGUGUGCAGAGAUUGUCACACGGCAUUUAAUUUUAUGUGCAAGAUUGUUCCGGGGGAGAUCAUCAUCAGAGACACCAACCAAUAUGUUUCAUUGUUUCUGAGAAUGAGCAUGUUCUUGUGGAAAUUACUGGUGACUUUGUGAGGGAUCAGGAUGUACAUUAGGAUACUGGUGACUUGUUUUUAUUAAUAAUAUCACCAAACAUUUUCAGCAGGAGUCACAACCUCAGCUACUUG